rnacentral:tRNA from 2 species
GCGCCCAUAGCUCAGCUGGAUAGAGCGUUGCCCUCCGGAGGCAAAGGUCGGGGGUUCAAAUCCUCCUGGGCGCGCCA